rnacentral:lncRNA from 1 species
CCCACCUGCUUACCUGGCCAAUUGUUCGAUUACCUCUUAUGAAGAGCUCAAGUUGCAAACACUAAGACCUGAUUAACCAAUAUUAAGUCAAUAGGUCUUCCACUGUAGUAGAGCUGCUGAGGUCUUUCUGAUGUUGAUUUGUCUCGGCUGGACACAGUGGGCAAGUUGCAUCGGGGGGCUAGACCUCUCUAUAGACAUGAGAUGUUGUAGGGUAAAGGUGGGGUUGGGCACCAAUAACUGUUAGGUGAGGACCCAAUGACGACUUUAUUCCUACGGUUAUACGGUGGGUCAGACUUAACUAAAAAAUGGGACCAAUAACUGUUAGGUGAGGUCUUCAUGGCUUAGAGACCAAGAAGCACUGCAACAUGCUUGAGAAGCAUUGUACAAGAGUUGUACAUUCAUCAAUUUAUGUGUCAUCAAUAAC